UACGGAGGGUGCAAGCGUUAUCCGGAAUCAUUGGGUUUAAAGGGUCCGCAGGCGGUUUAAUAAGUCAGUGGUGAAAGCCUACAGCUCAACUGUAGAACUGCCAUUGAUACUGUUAGACUUGAAUUCGGUCGAAGUGGGCGGAAUGUGACAUGUAGCGGUGAAAUGCUUAGAUAUGUCACAGAACACCGAUAGCGAAGGCAGCUCACUAGGCCUGGAUUGACGCUCAGGGACGAAAGCGUGGGGAGCAAACAGG
rnacentral:rRNA from 1 species